GUGAGGAAUAUUGGUCAAUGGGCGAGAGCCUGAACCAGCCAAGUCGCGUGAAGGAAGAAGGAUCUAUGGUUCGUAAACUUCUUUUGCAGGGGAAUAAAGUGCGGGACGUGUCCUGUUUUGUAUGUACCCUGAGAAUAAGGAUCGGCUAACUCCGUGCCAGCAGCCGCGGUAAUACGGAGGAUCCGAGCGUUAUCCGGAUUUAUUGGGUUUAAAGGGUGCGUAGGUGGUUUGAUAAGUCAGCGGUGAAAGUUUGCAGCUUAACUGUAAAAAUGCCGUUGAAACUGUCGGACUUGAGUGUAAAUGAGGUAGGCGGAAUGCGUGGUGUAGCGGUGAAAUGCAUAGAUAUCACGCAGAACUCCGAUUGCGAAGGCAGCUUACUAAGCUACAACUGACACUGAAGCACGAAAGCGUGGGGACCAAACAGGAUUAGAUACCCGAGUAGUCC
rnacentral:rRNA from 1 species